rnacentral:lncRNA from 1 species
AAAGGAUUAAAAUAUAAUUUUAUCAACUUAUGAUUUCUUAAACACUAAAGGGAUUAUAGAAGCAAAUUUUCAUUUUCGAGGUCAAGGUUGCUACCUACCCUCUCCCUUCGCCCUUGUUUAUAGCAUCGCCAUUCGGAACAACACACAAUUUGCUGAAGCUUGGCUUUAUAGCCUCAUCAAGUAAACAUCUCUUGAAUGUCUCGUCAUACCAAAUGAGUCCACACAACUCUUAGAAGAUAUAUGAAAAAAAGUUUUUAAUGACACACUUCAAUAUGUCAUAUCUUAACUUAAUAAACCAUUCGCCUAGUCCCUUCAAGUCCACCCUUAUAAUGCUUUCAGUUGAAAUGCGCCAUCCUACCACUGCAUAUAUAGAAUAGAGAACUUAAUGG